rnacentral:lncRNA from 1 species
AGGGGAAUUGCCACAAAUACCACUUUCAAUGUACCAUUUUUCAUUAAUACCUUAACCAAUUUUACCAUUAAAAUUUUAAUAGGCAAAAUACAAUUAUGCCCCUAUCUAAUUAAAACUACAACUAUUAUCUUCUUCUCCACUAUCCGAUAAUCAAUCCGACGAGAUCCGGUGAUUCUGACGAGUUUUCCGGCGAGCUUUGACAACGAAGACGAGCUCUCUUGCGAAAUCUGACGAUGCUGAUGAAUUCUCUGGCGAAACACGAAUGAGACGAUCUCUCUCCUGAUGCUGAUGAGUUUCCGGUGAGAUAUGACGACGCUAACGAGUUUUCCGGCGAGAUCUGACGAUGCCGAGAAGUUCUACGGCAAAGCUGACAGACUCGACAAGCUCAGACGAACGAGACGAUCUCUCUCCCAACGCCUAACGAGAAAUUCUCCGGCAAAGCUGACAGACUCGACAAGCUCAGACGAACGAGACGAUCUCUCUCCCAACGCCUAAGAAACACUAACAAAGGUAAGAUGAUAGUAUAUGGUGAUUUUUGCCUCUUUCUGUAAUUUUAGCUUGAUUUAUCAAAAUCGAUAUGUUUCUAAGAAAGAAGACGAAGUUUUUCAAGUGAAGUUUUCAGAUCUCAUAUUUAUAAGAUCUUAUAAAUUGGGUCCUUUCAAAUCUUACUGUUGAUCUGUUAGCAAUCAAAAGACACAAAGCUUAACGUAAGAGUACAAUUAUUGAUUUGGUUGAUUUAUUGUCAUAGUUUUCAGAUUUAUAUAAUUAUUUAAUUCAUGAGAAGGUACUAACCUAAGAGUAUAAUUAUUCCAUGAUUACUUCUUCUCUUGGUUGAUUUGGUGAUGUUGCAGAGAAUUAAAAAUGUGUGUUGUCAGCUUUUGGAUUUAAAGGAUGUUGUGGAGAAUAUGUGUGGUGAUAUGCAUAUCUAAGUAUCUCACUUCCUUAAGGUAAUACAAUGCUAUUAUUUGUAGUUUGACUAGCAAUGUUUUAGUAUGUGCAGUAUAUGAGGUGGAACGUUGGUGUUUUGGUAGUGUAACGUUCUAUUUAUACUUUGUGAGAUUUAUUUUUUAUGUCUUGUUUUGUGUAUAAUAUCUACAGAAGCAGUGGAGAUGAAGGAUGAGUUUGUUGAGUUACGAAAGCAUACUAUUUUUGAAUCUUAUUUUGGAAGUGAAUGCUGAUGCGUAGAAAUAAUAUGUGACUGGCUUUUGUUCAGAUUUUGAAAAUUUACGAGGUUGGUGAGCUGUUUGAAGAGGCAAGAGAGACUCUGAAGAAGAAUGUGGUUUGUGCUAUCAAAGAAUUACGUAUUUAUAACGCUUUAUAAAAGUUGCAGAGUUGGCUUCUUAGUACAUUCUUCUCUCUCAUCUUCUUUAGACAUCUCUUAUACUAAAACAAUUGUAUCUCUCUUUUAGUAGUUGCAUAGUUGAAGAUAUUAGUUGGACAUGUAAGUGAGUUUGGUUUCAAUUGUUUCUUUUAUAGAAGAGUGAGAUAUGGAGAAGCCUUGAUGUUCUCAGACUAUGUUAAAGCAAUAUAUCCCUUGUUGAAGGACGUGGCUCUUUCACCAGAUAUGUCUUUUUUGUGUUGAUUAUCUUUUGGAGGGAUUUUAGAAAAAUUACCUUAUAA